CGCGGCCACCCUAGAGGGCCCGCCCGCCACGCCUCCGCUCCCAGGUCCCCGCUGUGAGCCCAGACCCGCCGCCGAGGCUCCGGCCAGCCGCUUCCUGCACAGCCCGGCGCCCGGCCCUUUAAGAAAGUGGGGGAGGGGAGCGCCACGAGGUUCCGCCCCCUUCCUCGCCCAGCCGGGCCGCUGCUGUCCUCUCACCCGGGUCAGACCCAGCCACCGCCCCCCGCGGCAGGACCCUCAGUCUCACACCCUGAGUCCACCUCCAGAGACCUGCCCAGAUGGUGGGGGACAAGAGGGACCAUCUCAGAGAUCGUGCCAGGUCAGGGGGAGGCUGCCUAGGAAGAGAGAUAAAGAUGCUGUGAGCUGUGAAAACCAUCUCCCAAGGGACCUGCGAUGGUGGUCACCACCUUAAAGACCUACCCCCCAAGGACCCUAGCUCUGAAGAAGGGUGACAGUAAUGUAUCCUAAACUUCCUAGCUGUGCAGCUCCUGCAGGGCAAAAUUCCACCCCUCAGACAGAUGAGAAAACUGAGGCCCAAGAGCACAGCUGGGCAGUUGAGACAGCACUCAGGCCACACCCCUGUAUUGCCCAUCAAACCUGGGGAUUGUCCCACAGAGCCCAGAAACAAGGAGGCCACUCUACUACAAGUGCCCAGGACCUUCUUGGAGGGCACAGAGGAAACAUGGCUUCCCUGCUGUCCUACCCUCUAACCUUCUGCUGUCUGCUACCUGUAGGCAGGGAUGGUUGGCAACCAACAGGAGCUGUGGGCAAAGGAGAGGUGACAAGCCUUUGCUUCCACAUUCCCCAUGCUCAGGACCCAGGACCUCAAGUCACAGCUGAACAACCUUUCUGAGCCUCGACCUCCUCAACAACCCAAUAAGGAUGGUAAUAGCCUCUCUCCCGCAGGGCUGGGGUGCGAUGAAAGGAGCUGAUGUGCUCAGGGCCUACCCACCCAAGAAGACCCUAGUACCCAGCUGCACCCAACAGGCUGUGGUUAUCCCAGCUGUAAUGAGGACUUACUCAUGGAAUGGAUUAUUUACCCUCUGUCCACCUAGAUGAACUGUGAGCCCCCUGAAGGCAAGGUCUUUCUUGUUCACAACGGAUGCCCAGGACCUAACACACUUAAUAAAUCCAUGCAGAAGGAAAGACGAGACAGAGGGAGGGAGAUACAGCUGUCUCUCCACUUAAUCUGGCAGCCAGAACCUAGUCCCUGGCCUGGCACUGAUCCCCAUUAUUGGCAGCUCUGGGAGCCUGUUGCACUGGGCAUGAGCUAGCCAGGGCCUGAGGCCUGGGUUCUAAUCUAACUGCCACUUCCCGGUGGUGCCACCACAAGCAGCUGUAUCCCCUCCCUGAAUCUCCCUUACCCAUGUAAAGUGGCAGUAGCUCAAAGGGCUUGUCACAAGGCUACAGGUGGUCUCUGUGUGCCAGAGCGCUUUGGGCCACUAGACACAGGACAGAGUCACUGUCGUUAUUCUGUGUAGCUACUUUUGCCUCUUGAAAGAAUACAGGGUCAGCAUCUGCCAGCAGCCACAAUGUGCUACAUUCUUCAGCAUCUCUCCAAGGAAAAAAGAAUCAGCAACUUCUGUGC